CCAUUCACUGGGGCAGAAGCUACUGAGGAGUCUAAUGAGAUGUGAGUACCAAGGUGGAAGCAAUGUCAAGGACGAUGAGUUUGGAGGUGCAGUGGAAUACAAAGAGAGCAGCCAAUGGGAAAAUUUUACAAAAGAGGAAACCAAGGAGUCACAUUGAGAGGUCAUGUUUUGUUCAAGGUUAUGAAGAUAGUGUUACCCAGCAGUUUGACUUGCCUGUGCCCAGGAUUUCUUGCCUACCUGGAGGCAACCUCUGGACCAGCUGAUUUGAAUCACCAGGCAGCCCUUUCCAUUUGUGGGCAGCUCCACUGUCUGAUUGCCUCAUCUCAAGAGAGACAUAACAGAGCCUAAGAAGGUCCAGAGAAGAGCAACUCAAAUGAUCAAG